GUGAACGCUGGCGGUAUGGAUAAGGCAUGCAAGUCGAAUGGGUUUAGACCCAUGGCAGACGAGGUAGUAACACGUAGGAACGUCCCCCAAAGUCGGGCAUAACCAGUCGAAAGAUUGGAUAAUUCCCGAUACGUCGCAAGAUGAAAGAUUUAUCGCUCUGGGAGCGGCCUGCGUAAUAUCAGCUAGUUGGUGAGGUAAUGGCUCACCAAGGCUAUGACGUUUAGGGGACCUGAGAGGGUGACCCCCACCGAUGAGACUGAGACACGGCUCAUACCCCUACGGGGGGCCGCAGCCGAGAAUAUUCGACAAUGGGCGAAAGCCUGAUCGAGCGAUACCGCGUGGUGGAUGAAGUGCUUCGGCACGUAAACAUCUUUUAUGAGGGAAGAAGUUAUUGACAUUACCUCAUGAAUAAGGGGCUCCUAACUCUGU
rnacentral:rRNA from 1 species